rnacentral:rRNA from 1 species
GAUGAACGCUGGCGGCGUGCCUAAUACAUGCAAGUCGAGCGAACGGACGAGAAGCUUGCUUCUCUGAUGUUAGCGGCGGACGGGUGAGUAACACGUGGAUAACCUACCUAUAAGACGGGGAUAACUUCGGGAAAGCGGAGCUAAUACCGGAUAAUAUUUUGAACCGCAUGGUUCAAAAGUGAAAGACGGUGGUGCUGGCACGUAUAGAUGGAUCCGCGCUGCAUUAGCUAGUUGGUAAGGUAACGGCUUACCAAGGCAACGAUGCAUAGCCGAACUGAGAGGGUGAUCGGCCACACUGGAACUGAGACACGGUCAAGACUCCUAAGGGAGGCAGCAGUAGGGAAUCUUACGCAAUGGGCGAAAGCCUGACGGAGCAACGCCGCGUGAGUGAUGAAGGUCUUCGGAUCGUAAAACUCUGUUAUUAGGGAAGAACAUAUGUGUAAGUAACUGUGCACAUCUUGACGGUACCUAAUCAGAAAGCCACGGCUAACUACGUG